rnacentral:rRNA from 1 species
GUAGGGAAUAUUGCACAAUGGAGGAAACUCUGAUGCAGCGACGCCGCGUGAGUGAUGAAGGCCUUCGGGUCGUAAAGCUCUGUCGCAGGGGAAUAACACAAUGAAGGUACCCUGUAAGAAAGGAUCGGCUAACUUCGUGCCAGCAGCCGCGGUAAGACGAGGGAUCCUAGCGUUGUUCGGAAUCAUUGGGCGUAAAGCGGAUGUAGGUGGCUAUGUAAGUCAGAUGUGAAAGCCUGGGGCUCAACCCCAGAAGUGCAUUUGAUACUGCGUAGCUUGAGUGUCGGAGAGGUUACUAGAAUUGUUGGUGUAGUGGUGAAAUACGUAGAUAUCAACAGGAAUACCGGAGGCGAAGGCGGGUAACUGGCCGAACACUGACACUGAGAUCCGAAAGCGUGGGGAUCGAACAGGAUUAGAAACCCGGGUAGUCC